rnacentral:misc_RNA from 1 species
AAUUCUCAACUUCAGAACAUAUUGAUUGUGUCUUGAAGCUUGGACUUUGGAGGCUUGCCGGCAGAAAAAUGGUCAGCUCCUCUUAAAUGCAUUAGCAGAACCUUUUUGUAAAAAGGGGACUGGCUUCAGUUUGAUAAAUCCUAUCUAUGCUGUUGCCAGUUAACCUUAUGUGUUCAGCUUCUAAUGGUCUUUUUAGACUGUCUCUAUUGAGGCAUACACUUUUAA